rnacentral:lncRNA from 1 species
UCCACCUCUAGCUUGAAUUUUUAUGGGCCCACAAACAUCUGUAUGAAUUAGUCCCAAUAAUUCAGAAGCUCUUUCUCCACUUCCAGUAAAUGGAAAUUUGCUCAUUUUCCUUUGAGACAAGAUUCACAAGUUGGAUAUGAUUCAAAAUCAUAUUGUUAAGGUACCCUUCCUUGUACAACUUGUUAAUUCUUUUCUCUCCAAUAUGACCAAGCCUACAAUGCCAAAGGUAUGUUUGAUUUACAUGA